GGAUCAUAAAUGAUGUCCGCUUAGUAAGCGGAAGAUCAUGGGUUCGAUUCCCAUCUGCUCCA
rnacentral:tRNA from 1 species